GACGAACGCUGGCGGCGUGCUUAACACAUGCAAGUCGAACGCUGAAGCUCAGCUUGCUGGGUGGAUGAGUGGCGAACGGGUGAGUAACACGUGAGUAACCUGCCCUCUUCUUUGGGAUAACGCCCGGAAACGGGUGCUAAUACUGGAUAUUCACUGAUUCUCGCAUGGGGGUUGGUGGAAAGGUUUUUUCUGGUGGGGGAUGGGCUCGCGGCCUAUCAGCUCGUUGGUGGGGUGAUGGCCUACCAAGGCUUUGACGGGUAGCCGGCCUGAGAGGGUGACCGGUCACAUUGGGACUGAGAUACGGCCCAGACUCCUACGGGAGGCAGCAGUGGGGAAUAUUGCACAAUGGGCGAAAGCCUGAUGCAGCGACGCCGCGUGAGGGAUGGAGGCCUUCGGGUUGUAAACCUCUUUCGCUCAUGGUCAAGCCGCAGCUUUGGGUUGUGGUGAGGGUAGUGGGUAAAGAAGCGCCGGCUAACUACGUG
rnacentral:rRNA from 1 species